rnacentral:rRNA from 1 species
UACGUAGGAGGCGAGCGUUUGUCCGGAGUUACUGGGCGUAAAGGGUGCGCAGGCGGUGGCCCGCGUGGGCGGUGAAAGCUCCUGGCUCAACUGGGAGAGGGCCGUCCAGACGGGGUCACUUGAGGGGGCGGAGAGGGGCGUGGAAUUCCGGGUGGAGCGGUGAAAUGCGUAGAUAUCGAGAGGAACACCAGUGGCGAAGGCGAGUCCCUGGACACUUCCUGACACUGAGGCACGAAAGCUAGGGGAGCAAACAGG